rnacentral:rRNA from 1 species
UGGAAACUGGGGAACUUGAGUGCAGAAGAGGAAAGUGGAANUCNACGUGUAGCGGUGAAAUGCGUAGAGAUGUGGAGGAACACCAGUGGCGAAGGCGACUUUCUGGUCUGUAACUGACACUGAGGCGCGAAAGCGUGGGGAGCGAACAGGAUUAGAUACCCUGGUAGUCCACGCCGUAAACGAUGAGUGCUAAGUGUUAGAGGGUUUCCGCCCUUUAGUGCUGCAGCUAACGCAUUAAGCACUCCGCCUGGGGAGUACGGCCGCAAGGCUGAAACUCAAAGGAAUUGACGGGGGCCCGCACAAGCGGUGGAGCAUGUGGUUUAAUUCGAAGCAACGCGAAGAACCUUACCAGGUCUUGACAUCCUCUGACAACCCUAGAGAUAGGGCUUUCCCCUUCGGGGGACAGAGUGACAGGUGGUGCAUGGUUGUCGUCAGCUCGUGUCGUGAGAUGUUGGGUUAAGUCCCGCAACNAGCGCAACCCUUGAUCUUAGUUGCCAGCAUUCAGUUGGGCACUCUAAGGUGACUGCCGGUGACAAACCGGAGGAAGGUGGGGAUGACGUCAAAUCAUCAUGCCCCUUAUGACCUGGGCUACACACGUGCUACAAUGGAUGGUACAAAGAGCCCGCAAACCCGCGAGGGCAAGCUAAUCUCAUAAAGCCAUUCUCAGUUCGGAUUGCAGGCUGCAACUCGCCUGCAUGAAGCCGGAAUCGCUAGUAAUCGCGGAUCAGCAUGCCGCGGNGAAUACGUUCCCGGGCCUUUGUACACNNCNNCCGUCACACCACGAGAGUUUGUAACACCCNANUCGGUGAGGUAACCUUUUGNACCAGCCGCCUA